rnacentral:rRNA from 1 species
CCUACGGGGGGCUGCAGUGGGGAAUAUUGGACAAUGGGGGCAACCCUGAUCCAGCCAUGCCGCGUGUGUGAAGAAGGCCCUCGGGUUGUAAAGCACUUUCAGUGAGGAAGAACGCCUGGUGGUUAAUACCCAUCAGGAAAGACAUCACUCACAGAAGAAGCACCGGCUAACUCCGUGCCAGCAGCCGCGGUAAUACGGAGGGUGCGAGCGUUAAUCAGAAUUACUGGGCGUAAAGCGCGCGUAGGUGGCUUGAUAAGCCGGUUGUGAAAGCCCCGGGCUCAACCUGGGAACGGCAUCCGGAACUGUCAAGCUAGAGUGCAGGAGAGGAAGGUAGAAUUCCCGGUGUAGCGGUGAAAUGCGUAGAGAUCGGGAGGAAUACCAGUGGCGAAGGCGGCCUUCUGGACUGACACUGACACUGAGGUGCGAAAGCGUGGGUAGCAAACAGGAUUAGAUACCCUUGUAGUC